rnacentral:rRNA from 1 species
AACCAAUCGACUUUUUAUUAAGUCGUAAUAAAUUGAUGAAUUCUGAGUAACUACUUUAUUAGCGAACCGCAUGAUCUCGUAUCGGCGGUCUGUCGGUCAAGCAACCGCCUUAUCAGCUUGUCAUUAGGUUACAUGCCUAACGAGGCGUCAACGGGUAACGAACGAUUGGGGUCUGACAUCGGAGAGGGAGCCUGAGAAACGGCUACCACAUCUAAGGAAGGCAGCAGGCGCGCAAAUUACCCACUCCCGGCACGGGGAGGUAGUGACGAGAAAUAACGAUGCGGGGCCCUCAUGGGCACUCGUAAUCGGAAUGAGUACACUUUAAAUCCUUUAACGAGGAUCUAUUGGAGGGCAAGUCUGGUGCCAGCAGCCGCGGUAAUUCCAGCUCCAAUAGCGUAUAUUAAUGCCGCUGCGGUUAAAAAGCUCGUAGUUGGAUCUGGGUCUACGGCGAGCAGCCACAUAGUAUUGAGUGCUAUGUGUGAUUUGCUAGACGCGUCGUAAAAGUGCGUUAUACUCACAGUGUAUCGUACUGACGUAGCCCGUGCGUGUUUGUAUUGGUAUAUUCUGAUCUUUAUA